GAGCAUGUGGCUUAAUUCGAUGCAACGCGAAGAACCUUACCGGGGCUUGACAUGGUGGAAGUAGGAACCCGAAAGGGGGACCAACGGUAUCCAAUCCGUAACCAUCACAGGUGCUGCAUGGCUGUCGUCAGCUCGUGCCGUGAGGCGUCGGGUUAAGUCCUCUAACGAGCGAAACCCUUAUCUCUAGUUGCCAGCGGGUCACGCCGGGAACUCUAGAGAGACUGCCGUCGUCAAGACGGAGGAAGGUGGGGAUGACGUCAAGUCAUCAUGGCCUUUAUGCCCCGGGCUGCACACGUGCUACAAUGGUCGGUACAAAGGGAUGCGAAACUGCAAAGUGAAGCGAAACCCAGAAAGCUGGCCCCAGUUCAGAUCGGAGGCUGAAACUCGCCUCCGUGAAGUCGGAAUCGCUAGUAAUCGCGGAUCAGCUACGCCGCGGUGAAUAUGUUCCCGAGCCUUGUACACACCGCCCGUCAAGCCACCCAAGCAGGGUGUACCAGAAAUCGCUGACCCAACCCGCAAGGGAGGGAGGCGCUGAAGGUACGUCUUGUGAGGAGGACUAAGUCGUAACAAGGUAGCCGUAGGAGAACCUGCGGCUGGAUCACCUCCUUUCUAAGGA
rnacentral:rRNA from 1 species